ACGGAAGGCAGCAGUGGGGAAUAUUGCACAAUGGGGGAAACCCUGAUGCAGCAACGCCGCGUGAGUGAAGAAGUAUUUCGGAUUGUAAACCUCUGUCAACAGGGACGAAAAUGACGGUACCUGUGAAGGAAGCUCCGGCUAACUACGUGCCAGCAGCCGCGGUAAUACGUAGGGAGCAAGCGUUAUCCGGAAUUACUGGGUGUAAAGGGAGUGUAGGCGGGACUGUAAGUCAGAUGUGAAAUAUGCCGGCUCAACUGGCAGACUGCAUUUGAAACUGCGGUUCUUGAGUGAAGUAGAGGUAAGCGGAAUUCCUAGUGUAGCGGUGAAAUGCGUAGAUAUUAGGAGGAACACCGGUGGCGAAGGCGGCUUUCUGGACGAUAACUGACGCUGAGGCGCGAAAGUGUGGGGAGCAAACAGGAUUAGAUACCCUGGUA
rnacentral:rRNA from 1 species